UUGGAGGGCAAGUCUGGUGCCAGCAGCCGCGGUAAUUCCAGCUCCAAUAGCGUAUAUUAAAGUUGUUGCAGUUAAAAAGCUCGUAGUUGAAUUUUAGACUUGAUCUCAUGGUCCAUCCAAUGGAUGAGUACUGUUUUGAUUGGGACUUCAUUUCUGAUAAACUUUUAUUCCCUUUAUUGGGUGUAAUAGGGAAGCAGGACCAUUACCUUGAAAAAAUUAGAGUGUUCAAAGCAGGCAAAAUUGCUCGAAUACAUUAGCAUGGAAUAAUAAAAUAGGACGGAUGAAUCUAUUUUGUUGGUUUCUAGGACCACCGUAAUGAUUAAUAGGGAUAGUUGGGGGCAUUAGUAUUCAAUUGUCAGAGGUGAAAUUCUUGGAUUUAUUGAAGACUAACUACUGCGAAAGCAUUUGCCAAGGAUGUUUUCAUUAAUCAAGAACGAAAGUUAGGGGAUCGAAGACGAUCAGAUACCGUCGUAGUCUUAACCAUAAACUAUGCCGACUAGGGAUCGGAUGAUGUUAAUUUUUUAAUGACUCAUUCGGCGCCUUACGGGAAAC
rnacentral:rRNA from 1 species